UCCCUGGUGGUCCAGUGAGUAAGACUCUGCUUCCAAUGCAGAGGGCCUGGGUUCAAGCCCUGGUCAGGGAA
rnacentral:tRNA from 1 species